rnacentral:rRNA from 1 species
AUUGAACGCUGGCGGCAGGCCUAACACAUGCAAGUCGAGCGGAUGAAGGGAGCUUGCUCCUGGAUUCAGCGGCGGACGGGUGAGUAAUGCCUAGGAAUCUGCCUGGUAGUGGGGGAUAACGUCCGCAAACGGGCGCUAAUACCGCAUACGUCCUGAGGGAGAAAGUGGGGGAUCUUCGGACCUCACGCUAUCAGAUGAGCCUAGGUCGGAUUAGCUAGUUGGUGGGGUAAAGGCCUACCAAGGCGACGAUCCGUAACUGGUCUGAGAGGAUGAUCAGUCACACUGGAACUGAGACACGGUCCAGACUCCUACGGGAGGCAGCAGUGGGGAAUAUUGGACAAUGGGCGAAAGCCUGAUCCAGCCAUGCCGCGUGUGUGAAGAAGGUCUUCGGAUUGUAAAGCACUUUAAGUUGGAGGAAGGGCAGUAAGUUAAUACCUUGCUGUUUUGACGUUACCAACAGAAUAAGCACCGGCUAACUUCGUG